rnacentral:lncRNA from 1 species
UCUGUUGCAUGUCCCUGGCUUAGAGACCCUUUCAUUUCUGUCUGUGUUCAUUACAGGCCAAUUAGCUGCUUCUCCAUGAAGAUAAGGACCACCCUCUCUGUGGAACCAAGGAAAGGCAUUUGCUCCCAGCCCGGGCAGCACUUAUACUCACCUUGUUCUACCUGUCUCAUCACUAGAAAAAAUGAAAGCUUUCCAGAUGUGUUCUGCUAUGGUCCACAGGCUGGAGGGUGCAUAGAACCCUCCCAGAGGCGCUCUGCAAUCAGCAAUUCAGUGAGCCAUUCACAGUCCAACCCAUAUGGGAAUUCUCACACCUGUUGCCUAGAUGCCUGUGUCUGGUUAGAACCACUGCAUGCUUUCUUUCAUCUACAUUGAAUACGUCUUUGCUGCUCUGGGAUCCACCCUCCAGUCUUCAGUCAGCUAAGAAAAUGACCUGUGGGCACGUUGGCUUCCUUUCUUCGGAUUAAGUGGUUGUUCAGAGAGAGGCUGAGUCUGAUUGUUUACACAAGAAGGAAGUGAACACUGGCUGUGUGCCUGGCACUGUUAGGAGCCAUCAAACCAUGUCCAGAAAGGACACAGGGAAAGGAGAUGUCGAUGUUUCCAGAAAUUUUGUGAUGUGAAGAGAGCGCCUGAAGUCAGAAGACGGUAUUUACCAAGUCUCUUCCCAAAAUACUUGCAAAUGCACAUAAUCUCAAAGUGUUUUUGAGGGCUCUUCCGAUCUAAAAUUGGUCCUAGUGACAAGGGGUGUUUGCGGAAAUCAAAGGG